UACGGGGGGGGGGGGCAAGCGUUGUUCGGAAUUACUGGGCGUAAAGGGCUCGUAGGCGGCCAACUAAGUCAGACGUGAAAUCCCUCGGCUUAACCGGGAACUGCGUCUGAUACUGGAUGGCUAGAGGUUGGGAGAGGGAUGCGGAAUUCCAGGUGUAGCGGUGAAAUGCGUAGAUAUCUGGAGGAACACCGGUGGCGAAGGCGGCAUCCUGGACCGGUAUUGACGCUGAGGCGCGAAAGCCAGGGGAGCAAACGGGG
rnacentral:rRNA from 1 species